GUCGACGUGGCCGAGUGGUUAAGGUGACGGCCUGCUAAGCCGUUGGGCUAUGCCCGCGAGAGUUCGAAUCUCUUCGUCGACG
rfam:Ectocarpus siliculosus strain Ec 32, whole genome shotgun sequence assembly, unassigned sequences LGTn